rnacentral:rRNA from 1 species
CGCCCGCAAGGUUGAAACUCAAAGGAAUUGACGGGGGCCCGCACAAGCGGUGGAGUAUGUGGUUUAAUUCGACGCAACGCGAAGAACCUUACCAGGUCUUGACAUUGAUGGACAGAACUAGAGAUAGUUCCUCUUCUUCGGAAGCCAGAAAACAGGUGGUGCACGGUUGUCGUCAGCUCGUGUCGUGAGAUGUUGGGUUAAGUCCCGCAACGAGCGCAACCCCUAUCUUAUGUUGCCAGCACUUCGGGUGGGAACUCAUGAGAGACUGCCGCAGACAAUGCGGAGGAAGGCGGGGAUGACGUCAAAUCAUCAUGCCCCUUAUGACCUGGGCUACACACGUACUACAAUGGGAGUUAAUAGACGGAAGCAAUACCGCGAGGUGGAGCAAACCCGAGAAACACUCUCUCAGUUCGGAUCGUAGGCUGCAACUCGCCUACGUGAAGUCGGAAUCGCUAGUAAUCGCAGGUCAGCAUACUGCGGUGAAUACGUUCCCGGGCCUUGUACACACCGCCCGUCACACCACGAAAGUCGGAAGUGCCCAAAGCCGGUGGGGUAACCUUCGGGAGCCAGCCGUCUAAGGUAAAGUCGAUGAUUGGGGUGAAGUCGUAACAAGGUAGCCAAUCGAAUUCCCGCGGCCGCCAUUGGCGGCCGGGAGAAACUCU